CACGUAGGGCGCAAGCGUUGUCCGGAAUUAUUGGGCGUAAAGAGCUCGUAGGCGGUCUGUUACGUCUGCUGUGAAAACCCGGGGCUUAACCCUGGGCUUGCAGUGGAUACGGGCAGACUAGAGGCAGGUAGGGGAGAAUGGAAUUCCCGGUGUAGUGGUGAAAUGCGCAGAUAUCGGGAGGAACACCGGUGGCGAAGGCGGUUCUCUGGGCCUGACCUGACGCUGAGGAGCGAAAGCGUGGGGAGCGAACAGG
rnacentral:rRNA from 1 species